CCCCUCAAAGUGCCAAAACUGCAAUUAAACCUGAAUACUGAGGUUUAAGUUUAGAAAAAACAACUCAUACAGUUGUCCGAACUAAUUAACAUCUCUGUGUGUGUAUUAAGCAGUUUGUGUGUGCGCCCGGCAGUCUGUCUGUAUGUGUAUUUAGCAGCCUGUCUGUAUUUAGCAGACUGCUGAAUACACACACAGACUGCUGAGUACACAGUCUGGUAAAUACACA